rnacentral:lncRNA from 1 species
GUCAAAUAGCAGCCAAUUCCACGCGAGCUCUGGCGGCCAGGCCCCGCCCCCCUGACCUCACGUGGCCCCGCAUGAGGUUGCUACUUGCCUGCUCCAGGACCGAGCAGCACUGGGAGUUCUGCCCAGCUCAGCACUUCGUUAUACUGUGGAAGCAGGAAGGAACUGGCCAGCAGGCAUUCCCAAGAGAACACUCAGAGGGACGCUGGUCCAGUGGACUGACAGGCGGCAGAUGCAAAUGGGAACUGAGGUGGAAGCCGAGGACUGAGGACUUCGAGGGCAUCCCCAGGACUCCAUGCUGGAUACCUUCACUGACUGACGGGAGGGAGCGGGUUUGUAGGUAAUUACGGAAGCUCUAGGGACCGAUGAAAUAGAUGCGAAGACCUCUCGAAGCCCAAGGUGGUGAGGGAAUUAGGAGCCCUACUACGGUGAAGGAAAGACUAGGUGGGCCCUAACUGUUGACACUGUAGCAUCUGGAAACUGCAUGAACAAAGGCCAUUCACUACAGCAAGGUACAAAAUUAACCACUCAAAUUUCAACAGGAAAUAUACAGGAUCGCCUGGGUGGCUCAGCUGGUUGAGCAUCUGCCUUUGGCUCGGCUCAUGAUCCCAGAGUCCUGGGAUCAAGCCCCAAUCAGGCUCCUUGCUCAGUGGGGAGCCUGCUUCUCCCUCUCCCUUUGCUGCUCCCCCUGCUUGUGUUCUCCCUCUCUCUCUCUCUCUCAAAUAAAUAAAUAAAAUCUUAAAAAAGAGCA